AAAACAAAUGUUGUUCGCACUUGUAUAUGCUGGAUAAUAUGGUUUCAGCGUUUCUACCAGGCAACCGUAAAUAGCCUGACUAUGGGUGUUUAUAUUAUGAUU
rnacentral:ncRNA from 2 species